GACGAACGCUGGCGGCGUGCUUAACACAUGCAAGUCGAACGGAAAGGCCCUGCUUUUGUGGGGUGCUCGAGUAGCGAACGGGUGAGUAACACGUGAGUAACCUGCCCUUGACUUUGGGAUAACUUCAGGAAACUGGGGCUAAUACCGGAUAGGAGCUCCUGCUGCAUGGUGGGGGUUGGAAAGUUUCGGCGGUUGGGGAUGGACUCGCGGCUUAUCAGCUUGUUGGUGGGGUAGUGGCUUACCAAGGAUUUGACGGGUAGCCGGCCUGAGAGGGUGACCGGCGACAUUGGGACUAAGAUACGGCCCAGACUCGUACGGGAGGCAGCAGUGGGGAAUAUUACACAGUAGGCGGAAGCCAGAUGCAGCGACGCCGCGUGCGGGAUAACGGGCUUCGGGUUGUAAACCGCUUUCGCCUGUGACGAAGCGUGAGUGACGGUAAUGGGUAAAGAAGCACCGGCUAACUACGUG
rnacentral:rRNA from 1 species